UACGUAGGGUGCAAGCGUUGUCCGGAAUUAUUGGGCGUAAAGAGCUCGUAGGCGGUCUGUCGCGUCUGCUGUGAAAACUCAGGGCUUAACCCUGAGCUUGCAGUGGGUACGGGCAGACUAGAGUGCGGUAGGGGAGACUGGAAUUCCUGGUGUAGCGGUGAAAUGCGCAGAUAUCAGGAGGAACACCGGUGGCGAAGGCGGGUCUCUGGGCAGUAACUGACGCUGAGGAGCGAAAGCAUGGGGAGCGAACAGG
rnacentral:rRNA from 1 species